rnacentral:rRNA from 1 species
CCUACGGGAGGCAGCAGUGAGGAAUAUUGGUCAAUGGUCGGGAGACUGAACCAGCCAAGCCGCGUGAGGGAUGAAGGUACAGAGUAUCGUAAACCUCUUUUGUCAGGGAACAAAGGCGGGGACGUGUCCCCGGAUGAGUGUACCUGAAGAAAAAGCAUCGGCUAACUCCGUGCCAGCAGCCGCGGUAAUACGGAGGAUGCGAGCGUUAUCCGGAUUUGUUGGGUUUAAAGGGUGCGCAGGCGGUCUGUUAAGUCAGCGGUCAAAGCCCGGGGCUCAACCCCGGCCCGCCGUUGAAACUGGCAGUCUCGAGUUGGAGAGAAGUAUGCGGAAUGCGCGGUGUAGCGGUGAAAUGCAUAGAUAUCGCGCAGAACUCCGAUUGCGAAGGCAGCAUGCCGGCUCCACACUGACGCUGAGGCACGAAAGCGUGGGUAUCGAACAGGAUUAGAUACCCUGGUAGUC